AGGGUUUGAUCAUGGCUCAGAACGUACGCUGGCGGCACGCCUAACACAUGCAAGUCGAACGAAGUAGCAAUACUUAGUGGCAGACGGGUGAGUAACAUGUAGGUAUCUGCCCUUUGGCCUGGAAUAACACGAGGAAACUUGUGCUAAUACCGGAUAAGUCUUUACGGAGAAAGCUUUAUGCACCAUUGGAUGAGCCUGCACUUGAUUAGUUUGUUGGUGGGGUAAUGGCUUACCAAGACUGUGAUCAAUAGCUGAUUUGAGAGGAUGAUCAGCCACAUUGGGACUGAGACACGGCCCAAACUCCUACGGGAGGCAGCAGUGGGGAAUCUUGCACAAUGGAGGAAACUCUGAUGCAGCGAUGCCGCGUGAGUGAAGAAGGCCCUUGGGUUGUAAAGCUCUUUCGUCGGGGAAGAAAAUGACUGUACCCGAAUAAGAAGGUCCGGCUAACUUCGUGCCAGCCGCCGCGGUAA
rnacentral:rRNA from 1 species